GAUCUUAUAUAUAUUAUUUUGUAGGGUAACCAAAGAAUCUAGGAGAUAUAACUUCUAUCAUGCUAAAGAACAAGAGUUGUUCGGCAUUCCUUUCAGAAAAGGACUAUCUUGGUGAAGGUACUGAUGCCUUAAAUAUGAAACUUAUGAAGUUCGACAGGUAAAAAAAUUGACAUAAUCUAGUGAACUCGUAGAACUGGAUUUGAUUAGAUCAAACCCAGAACCCGUUGUAGAGGCACCAUAAAG
rnacentral:lncRNA from 1 species